rnacentral:lncRNA from 1 species
GUCUGAGCAGCCUCAGGGUCCGAGUGGGCGGGGCCUAAGGUCAGGGAGCCAAGGAUUAAGGCGGGGCUGGCCGGAGAGGGCGGGGCGUGCCAUUGGCUAAGCAGGGGUGGGGUCAGGCGGAGCCUGAGAAACAAGUUCCCAAGGGUCCUGGGAACCCAAGAAGGCUACUGAGAGGGCGGGGCUUUCGGGAGGAGCCGAGGGGGCCGAAGGAGUUGGGAACCCGGUGUGUGAAACUGGACCCGGGAGUCCAGGGGUCUUCACACCUACAGGCCCAGGUCUGGUACUAUGUCCAACAGUGCGCGCUGAAGUGUUUGUUUUGGUUUUUCCUUUCUUAAGGUUUUGGGUUUUGUUUUGUUUCUCUACGUAGUUCUGGCCGGCCUUGGACUCGCUGUGUUGCCCAGGCUGGCCCUGAACUCUCGAUUUUGCAGCCUCAGUAUCCUGAGUGCAAAAAUGGGUGAUCAAACCCAGCUACAGUGGGUUUUAAAAGGCCAAACCACUGUGGAGGAACGGGGAGGAAAGCUGGAAGGCCAGAGGCUCUCAGAAGGGGAAAAGGGGGUCUACCUGGUGAGGAAAACCGCAGGUAAACUUCACCAGCGCACAAAGCGAAAAUGUUUCAUUUAACAGAUGCAGAAACAGCCCAAGGGAAUGUCGUACAGGCAGUAAGUGGAAGCCUAGAUCCCAGGGACUGGAGCAGCUGGUCUCUUCUGAAGGAGGUACCAGCCUGCCCGCUGGGGAAGGACAGGAGGCCACAUCUGCGCAGAGGAAAACACUGGGUGCUCUCUGGGAAGAAAGCGCCAAGUGCAGAUCUUGCGCCUUUCGUCAUGAGCGGGGAGGAAAACAGCUAGGGAGUCAUAGGCCAAGACAGGAAAAGAGGCAGCACAAUCCAG